rnacentral:lncRNA from 1 species
UGAAAUACAUAAAUCACCUUUAUGCGUAUGCAUAAAGGAUUCUAUUUACGCAUUAUUUCUUUGGGAGUUAAAGGGUACGUUCCCUUUGAGAAGAGCUACCUCCUAGUCUCACUAGAGUUGUUCUUCUAAUUGAAGGUUAUCAUCAUAUGAGAAACUUCCUAGCAACUUUUGUCUAUUAUUAGGGAUUAAUAUAAUCAAAUUAUAUAUUGAAAUCUAUCAAUAUAGAUUUCCAUCCCAUGUAUAUAGACUAUGUCUCCCAUAUACAUUUUAUCGUUAUAGAAUGCUUAAAGUCAUAACUUUAACGAAGAAAUAUUCUUUUCAUU